rnacentral:rRNA from 1 species
CCUACGGGAGGCAGCAGUGGGGAAUUUUGGACAAUGGGCGCAAGCCUGAUCCAGCCAUGCCGCGUGUGUGAAGAAGGCCUUCGGGUUGUAAAGCACUUUCGGCCGGAACGAAAUCGCGCGGGCUAUUACCCCGCGUGGAUGACGGUACCGGAAGAAGAAGCACCGGCUAACUACGUGCCAGCAGCCGCGGUAAUACGUAGGGUGCGAGCGUUAAUCGGAAUUACUGGGCGUAAAGGGUGCGCAGGCGGCGUCGCAAGUCAGGCGUGAAAUCCCCGGGCUUAACCUGGGAAUUGCACUUGAAACUACGAUGCUGGAGUAUGGCAGAGGGAGGUGGAAUUCCACGUGUAGCGGUGAAAUGCGUAGAGAUGUGGAGGAACACCGAUGGCGAAGGCAGCCUCCUGGGCCAAUACUGACGCUCAUGCACGAAAGCGUGGGGAGCAAACAGGAUUAGAUACCCUGGUAGUCCACGCCCUAAACGAUGAUGACUAGUUGUUGGAGGAGUUAAAUCCUUUAGUAACGCAGCUAACGCAAGAAGUCAUCCGCCUGGGGAGUACGGUCGCAAGAUUAAAACUCAAAGGAAUUGACGG